UCAUUGUUGAAUGCUAAGAAAGACAAAGAUGAAGACUAGAUGGAAUAGGAAGAACUUUCUGCUUGUAGCAGGACUGUCUGUUAUAGGUGUCCAUAUUGGUAGCAUGCUUGUAAACUUAGUUGCAAAAAAAUCAGCCCAAUCACAUUCGGAAAUUAAAAAAGGUCGUCAUGAAUGAAAUAG